GUGAAUCAUCAAAUCUUUGAACGCAAAUUGCACUCUCUUCGGAGAGUAUGCCUGUUUGAGGGUCAGCCUAUAAAAAAUCGACAUAGUUGCUGUUCCGCGGUGGAGAUCGUCGGAAAGUGGGUCAUCUUAAAUCUUUUGGGUUUAAGCGACUUAAAAUUUUCUUUUUGGUUCCAUGAAAGUGUCUAAGAUUUAUAUCUUUAAACGUUUA
rnacentral:misc_RNA from 1 species